rnacentral:lncRNA from 1 species
GAUCUUACACUCGGGAUCCCACCACACUCGGAUUAUGGAACCCUAACAAUCCUAAACCAAAACCAACAAGGACUCCAAAUCAUGGACAAAGAUAGAAAAUGGCACUCUGUACCAUUUAUACAAGGAGCAUUAACAGUUCAAUUAGGAGAUCAAAUUGAAGUGAUGAGCAAUGGUAGAUACAAGAGUACUUUUCAUCGAGCAACUGUGAACAACAAGAGGAAUCGAUUAUCGAUUGCUAGUCUUCAUAGUCUGCCAAUCGAGAAGAAGGUAGGGCCCGCACCACAGCUCGUUGAUGAACAGUAUCCCAUAGCCUACAGAGAGGGAAGCUUUGGUGAAUUUCUUGAUCAUAUCUCUAAGAAAUGUCUAUCAGAAACUAGGUACAUAGACACAUUGAGAAUUCUGUGAAAGAUGAUAUGGUUUCAGAACAAUAUGAGCAUGUAUCAAGCAACUCCCCAUACACCUCCUGUUAUCGUGGUUACUUUAGAAUAUGAAAUUAACGAAGAUAUCCAACAUGUUUGUAAAAGAAUAAGCAUAUAUAAUGCAUAUCUAGCAUUCGUUUAAAAUGUCCUACUAAUUGGUAGCUUACUUCGUCUAUAAUCUAUUUACAUAAAGAUUUUGUUUGUCCUCAGUGAUAUCAUUCGGUGCAUAUAUGCCUAGCAAACUUCCUGUACUAUUACAUUAAUCAGAGUAAUUUUAAUCAUUCCAUCAGUGCAUAUUCUGCUUUCUAGCACGAGAUCUAGUUAUAAUUAAUUGUUUCCAAGUAAUUUAAUAUACCUAUUUAGCUAAUCGCGGCGUAAUCACUUUAUCGCAAUUCUUUUAGAAGAUCUUAUAUUAAUCAAAAAGAGGCUGAUCUGGACUAUGAAUCAGUUUCAGUCAACCAUAAUACAUCUGAAAGUUUAGAUAUCAAAAUCUAGAUCAUAACUACCAAAAUUGAUUCGAUUCGUUUGAAAAACUUUAGCUAAAAAACUAGAAGUCAGAUUAAGAUCUUACAAAAGAAGCGUUCGGAAUUAUAAGAUAUGAUGAUGGAUAACUUACACAGAGCUACGUUAUUAACGUUAAUCAUGCAUAUUCUCUGUGCUGCCUCCGGCGACUGCUUCUCACGCGCAGCCGCCUUGAGUGUCAAAUCGUUAUUUGGCAAGAAACACCUGUCAUUAGCCAUGACGAUGGCUCGAAUGGGUCCCGCAGUUGCAUAUCAUAUCUUCGGAAGAUCGAGAAGCUUAAUGGGGC